GAUGAACGCUGGCGGCGUGCCUAAUACAUGCAAGUCGAGCGAACAGAUGAGGAGCUUGCUCCUCGGACGUUAGCGGCGGACGGGUGAGUAACACGUGGAUAACCUACCUUUAAGACUGGGAUAACUUCGGGAAACUGGAUCUAAUACCGGAUAAUAUCUUGGACCGCAUUGUUCAGUAGUGAAGGACGGUUUUGUUGUCAAUUAUGGAUGGAUGCGCGCCGCAUUAGCUAGUUGGUAAGUUAACUGCUUACCAAGGCAACGAUGCGUAGCCGACCUGAGAGGGUGGUUGGCCACACUGGUACUGAGACAGGGUCCAGACUCCUACGGGAGGCAGCAGUAGGGAAUGAACCGCGAUGAGCGGAAGCCAGACGGAGGAACGGAGGGUGAGUGAUGAAGGUCUUCGGAUCGGAAGACUCUGUUAUUAGGGAAGAACGAAUGUGUAAGUAACUAUGCACGGCUGAAGGGAACUUAGUCAGAAAGCCACGGCUAACUACGUG
rnacentral:rRNA from 1 species